CUUCCGAGCUUACGACUUUUACUUCCUCUAAAUGAUCAAGUUCGGUCAUCUUUCCAACAGACCGGAGCAACCGAAAGGCCGCGCCGGACAUCGGUCCGAAGACCUCACUAAAUCAUUCAAUCGGUAGUAGUGACGGGCGGUGUGUACAAAGGGCAGGGACGUAAUCAACGCGAGCUUAUGACUCGCGCUUACUUGGAAUUCCUCGUUCAAGGGGAACAAUUGCAAGCCCCUAUCCCAAUCACGAAAGAAGUUCCACGGGUUACCCAGUCUUUUCAGACAGGGAUAAAGACACGCUGCUUCCUUCAGUGUAGCGCGCGUGCGGCCCCGGACAUCUAAGGGCAUCACAGACCUGUUAUUGCUCUGUUUCGUGCGGCUAUGAGCCGCUUGUCCCUCUAAGAAGGUUGUAAGGUGCUGGGAACCCCGCACCUAUUUAAUAGGCUAGAGUCUCGUUCGUUAUCGGAAUUAAC
rnacentral:lncRNA from 1 species